rnacentral:rRNA from 1 species
UACGUAGGGGGCAAGCGUUGUCCGGAUUUAUUGGGCGUAAAGAGCGUGUAGGCGGCUUGGUAGGUCCGCUGUGAAAACUCGAGGCUCAACCUCGAGAUGUCGGCGGAAACCACUUGGCUAGAGUCCGGAAGAGGAGAGUGGAAUUCCUGGUGUAGCGGUGAAAUGCGCAGAUAUCAGGAAGAACACCCGUGGCGAAGGCGGCUCUCUGGGACGGUACUGACGCUGAGACGCGAAAGCAUGGGGAGCGAACAGGG